GCAUGUGCGCUCUAUAUAUUGAGUUGCAACGUGUGACGGAUGGUACGUGUAACGAAUUACAUCUUAAAGGAGUUUGAUUUAUAUCUUCAAAGUUAUUAAAAAAUAUCUACCAAAUUUGAUCAGAGAAGAAGUCAUAUAACCUAAAUAGAUCAAUACUCCCGUAAACGAUGAAUGUUUUGUUAAAAAAUGAAAGAAGUAAAAUACGAUAAUAUAAAAAAAAAAAAGUUUAAACAGAUAAGAACACAUGAUUCAUUGAACACGAUAUUUUAGAUCAAGAUUG
rnacentral:lncRNA from 1 species